AAUCUCUUUCCAUAGUGAGGCAGUAAUAACCGGCCCUAAGGAUCUUUCUGGCCAUCGCAUGCCCAUUGGCAUGUGUCCCAAAUGAACCCUCGUGGAUCUCCUUAAUCAUGAAGUUCGCCUCUUUGGCAUCUACGCAUCGUAGGAGGGUCAUGUCGUGGUUUCGUUUGUACAGGAUGGUACCACUUACAAAGAAACCAGUAGCCAAUCUCCUCAACGUCCUUUUGUCAUUUUUAGAAAUCCCGGGUGGAUAUUCUUUGUUCUCAACAUAUUGUUUGAUGUCGAAGUACCACGGUUUCCCAUCCCGCUCUUCCUCUAUU
rnacentral:misc_RNA from 1 species